CGUUUCCCAUUUCAUACCUCUACAAGCUGCAUCCUAACAUGUCAACUAGGCUUUUUUUUUUAAUCAAUCAUGUUGUUGUGACUAUUUAGAAUUUCGUCGCUAAAGCAUCAUUCUGUUGUAGUGACCAGUGGUCACACCCUAAAAAGAAUGAAAAAAUAUGAUCUUGCUGCACUUUCAAUUUUCUUUCCAGAAGAUGUCAUCGCUAAAGCAUCUUUCUGUUGUUGUGAUUACAUGAUCACAACUGAAAAGACUGCAAAACUGUGUUCUUGCUGCCCUUUUAAUUUUCCUCGCGAAAGAUUUUGUCACUGAAGCAUCAUAUUGCUGUUAUGAUCACUGAUCACUCCCUGCAAGGACUGAGAAAUGAUGUUCUUGCUGCCCUAAUAAUUUUCCUCGCAGAAGAUUUUGUUGUCAAAGCAUCAUUUUGUUGCAGUGAUGACAACCUCAAAGAAUAGAAAAACUAUGUUCUUGCUGCUUUUUGUGACAGUAAAAUUUUCUCUCUGAUUUUGGUUGCUUUAUUUGUCCUCAGUUUCUUUAUUCUUUUGGUUGAUUUUUUUUAUAUUUUUGUUAUAUUUGUAGUUUAUGCAAUUUUUGGUGCUGUUAAAUCUAACUUUUGGUUCGUAUAAUGUUCCUAGGGGCGACCUCUUUUCUGUUCACCCAAUACAGAUACCUCAGCAUUUUCGUCGGUGUUUUUAGCACCAUAAUCUUCCUCUUCCUUGGCUCAGUGAAGGGUUUUAGCACUAAAAGCGAAGCCUGCACAUAUAACACAGGCAAUAUGUGCAAACCGGCAUUAGCCAACGCCUUCUUUAGUACUAUUGCCUUCUUGCUUGGUGCUUUUACAUCCGUCCUCUCUGGAUUUCUCGGGAUGAAGAUCGCAACGUAUGCCAAUGCUAGAACAACUCUAGAAGCAAGGAGGGGUGUUGGGAAGGCUUUCAUUACUGCCUUUCGCUCAGGUGCUGUGAUGGGGUUCCUUCUUGCUGCCAAUGGCCUAUUGGUGCUGUAUAUCACUAUCAAUUUGUUUAAGUUGUAUUAUGGGGAUGACUGGGAAGGACUAUAUGAGUCAAUUACUGGUUAUGGACUUGGAGGUUCUUCAAUGGCACUCUUUGGGAGAGUUGGGGGAGGUAUAUACACGAAAGCUGCUGAUGUUGGUGCUGAUCUUGUCGGGAAAGUUGAACGAAAUAUCCCUGAAGAUGAUCCACGAAACCCCGCCGUAAUUACCAACUCCUUUAUUACUAUGUUUGUUUGCUAAUUUCUACAUUUUCGCAAUGCAGAGCAUCACUUUUGACAUACUGAGUGUUAUACUUUCUUUGUCAAACAUUGUUAGAAGCGCUUUUAGUUAUAUGAGCGCUUUUAAUUUUGUGUUUCUUUCUCAGGUUAUUGCAGACAAUGUGGGUGACAAUGUAGGAGACAUUGCCGGGAUGGGAUCUGACCUGUUUGGAUCUUAUGCCGAGUCUUCUUGUGCAGCAUUGUUUGUUGCAUCCAUAUCAUCCUUUGGCAUCGGUCAUGACUACACCGCCAUGUCGUAUCCUUUGAUCAUAAGCUCAAUGGGGAUUGUGGUUUGUUUGGUAACAACCCUUUUCGCAACCGAUCUGUUUGAAAUCAAGAAAGUCAGUGAGAUCGAACCCGCCUUGAAGCGUCAACUCCUCAUCUCAACCGUCUUUAUGACUGCUGGGAUCGCCGCUGUCACUUUCGUAUCUUUGCCAUCAGAAUUCACUCUCUUCAGCUUUGGAACCAAUAAGGCUGUCAAAAACUGGUAUGCUUCUUUAUAUCCCCAACUUCCGUUCUUUCCCGAGUAAUUCUUCGUUAUUGUAUUAUGUGGUCUUAUCAAUUCACCCAUUUCAUAACACGUGUAUCGAUUUAUUAGUUAAUCACUAAUUCGUUUUCCCGUUACAUUUAGCAUAAUUAUCUGAAUUACAUGUGUGCUGUAGGUACCUCUUCUUUUGUGUAUCAAUCGGACUGUGGGCUGGUCUUGUUAUUGGAUACACCACAGAGUAUUACACUAGCAAUGCUUACAGGUGAGCCAUUUUAUUUCCUAAUUAAGUAAUUAUGAUUGUUGCACUUGAUCAAAUCUCCGAUGCUUAUUACUUUUUUCGGUUUGCAGUCCGGUGCAGGAUGUGGCAGAUUCAUGCAGGACUGGUGCUGCAACAAACGUGAUUUUCGGGCUGGCUCUUGGUUACAAAUCAGUCAUCAUUCCUGUGUUCGCCAUUGCGUUUGCUAUCUACGUUAGCUUUAGCUUGGCUGCCAUGUAUGGAAUAGCUGUGGCUGCUCUGGGAAUGCUCAGCACUAUCUCCACAGGUCUUGCAAUUGAUGCUUAUGGCCCCAUAAGCGACAAUGCUGGUGGGAUUGCAGAGAUGGCCGGGAUGAGCCACAAGAUACGCGAAAGAACAGAUGCUUUAGAUGCUGCAGGAAACACAACUGCUGCUAUUGGCAAGGUAAAACAAACCUAGGCGCAUUCUCGGAUCCUGAAAACGCAAAUUCACUUUCUCAAGACGCUUUCUGAAACGGUUUUAGAAAUUGUUACCAGACGGUCCCUAAGUAUUCAGUAUGAUGACUUGUAUCCCUUAUUUCGGUUUUGACAUGUUUUCUUGUAUGUGUCAGGGUUUUGCUAUUGGAUCAGCUGCUCUUGUUUCUCUUGCAUUGUUUGGCGCCUAUGUCAGCAGGGCGGGAAUAGAGACCGUUGAUGUGUUGACACCGAAAGUCUUCAUUGGCUUGAUUGUGGGAGCUAUGCUUCCGUACUGGUUUUCCGCCAUGACAAUGAAGAGUGUGGGAAGUGCUGCACUCAAAAUGGUCGA
rnacentral:lncRNA from 1 species